CAGCCGCCGCGGUAAUACGAAGGGGGCUAGCGUUGCUCGGAAUGACUGGGCGUAAAAGGCGCGUAGGCGGUUCGUACAGUUGGAUGUGAAAUUCCUGGGCUUAACCUGGGGGCUGCAUCCAAUACGUGCGGGCUUGAGUGUGGAAGAGGGUUGUGGAAUUCCCAGUGUAGAGGUGAAAUUCGUUGAUAUUGGGAAGAACACCGACGGCGAAAGCACUCUGCUGGGCCGACACUGACACUGAGAGACGAAAGCUAGGGGAGCAAAUGGGAUUAGAUACCCCAGUAGUCCCUGUCUCUUAUAC
rnacentral:rRNA from 1 species